AGUGAACGCUGGCGGUAGGCCUAACACAUGCAAGUCGAACGGCAGCACAGUAAGAGCUUGCUCUUACGGGUGGCGAGUGGCGGACGGGUGAGGAAUACAUCGGAAUCUACUUUUUCGUGGGGGGUAACGUAGGGAAACUUACGCUAAUACCGCAUACGACCUACGGGUGAAAGCAGGGGAUCUUCGGACCUUGCGCGAUUGAAUGAGCCGAUGUCGGAUUAGCUAGUUGGCGGGGGAAAGGCCCACCAAGGCGACGAUCCGUAGCUGGUCUGAGAGAAUGAUACGCCACACUGGAACUGAGACACGGUCCAGACUCCUACGGGAGGCAGCAGUGGGGAAUAUUGGACAAUGGGCGCAAGCCUGAUCCAGCCACACCGCGUGGGUGAAGAAGGCCUUCGGGUUUUAAAGCCCUUUUGUUGGGAAAGAAAAGCAGCAGGUUAAUACCCCGCUGUUCUGACGGUACCCAAAGAAUAAGCACCGGCUAACUUCGUG
rnacentral:rRNA from 1 species